GAUUGACUUUUGAUAUUUUGGGUGCUCUGUUAAAUUUUAUACUAUGGUGCGUGUAGUAUUGAUCUACUAGUAUAUUAAUGUGUGAACUUAUUCCUAUUUGUCGAAGGGAUGAAGUCAGAAACCUUUUUUAUCUAAAAGUAGAUUAUUCCAUAUCCAGCAAUGUCGGUUUUCAGCUACCGAAGAUUGCACUAGUAGUCCAACAUCAGUGGCCAGUUUAAUCACAGUCGAUUUUUUCGGCCAUCGGAUGAACAUCUGACACAUCUCAUUCAUCUUCUACCUCCCAACGCCGACACCCUCUUCUUCUCUGCGAGCUUCCUUGCUCUUGUUGCCACCUCACGGGCCUCCACCCUACCGCGGGCAGGAUAGGGUCUCACUGGAGCUUCGUGCCGGCACCUGCCUGCUACAGUUGCUUUCCCUUCUCCUGCCGCCGCCGCCAUCGCCUUCAUUGUCGCCCCCAUCGCGGCCCUGCCUAACCGGCCUCCUCCACUUCACUGCCU
rnacentral:lncRNA from 1 species